UCCUGAUUUCCAAGACGUGUGUCCGCAGGAAGAGAGUGACAGCACACUUUGCGUCAUCAGCCGGGGAAGCUUUCUCCACCCGUGCCUUGAAAACGGGACUAGAUGUGCAGAUCUAUGCAAUUGUGUUUCCGUUGCCAUCUAUCUUGUCAAAAUGAAAAUCGACAUGGGGAUUAAGUCAAAUGUGCUUCAGCAGAUUGCAGAGAAAUAAUGUGAAUCUUUCCUCUUGAGCCACAUAGAGAAACUCUCACUUCCUGCUGUGCUAAUUUGUCUUGGGUGAGCGGUUCUGAAGGUGAAACCCUGAAGGUCCUCUGCAUGAGAAGCUAGCAUUGCCAAACUACUACAGACAGCCAAAGGACAAUGUACAGACAAGCUUCUAUAGUGUUCUUUUUCAUACUCAUAAAGUAAAACGAGAAGCUAAUGCCGGAGAGAUGACUCAGUACAGAAGAUUGCCGACUAUUCAAAGCAAGGGGACCUGAUUCUAAGCCCCAGCACCGUUGUGAAAGCUCAGCAUGUCCAUGUAUGCCUGGAACCUCAGCACUCGGAGCCUGGAAACAGGGUUUACUUCCCAUCGAGCGUCUGUAAAUCAUAUUGAUGUUGGUCGGCACCUAGUUUGUCAGUGCGAGCAGAAUGCUCAAAGGGCAGCAAGAGGUCAUGAGAACCAACCCAAAGCAAUCCAGAGGUUCCGGUCACAGAAACACCCCACGGUGAGUCUUUAAACGGAGCAGUGCUGAUGGAGAAAGCUGGAUCCAGAGCUGAGUCAGCUGCCAAGACCCAAACACGCGUGAAGACCUGGCACUUGCCAAAUUCUGUGUUUGCAAUAUCUAAUUGUAUUACAAUACACAGUGUAAAACGUUAAGGGAAACAUUUGUGUUUUUAUUGAUCUCUAUUCAGCUAGAACUCUGGUUUCCUAGAUCACACACACACACACACACACACACACACACACACACACCUUAGUCUUAAAGGCUGAGUCACAAUGCAGGAGAACUGGGUUGAAUUAAAAUGCAGUAGUACUCUGUGGAAAUUUGUGAUGAACUUUAUGUGUAGGAAAUAUAUGUCUGAGUGUUCAAAGAGAUGGGAGAUCAACACUGGGUAUCUUCUUCCAUUGCUAUCUAUGUUAUACGUUUGGACGAACUCUCACCAAACAGUACUUUUGAUUUGGCUUUCCUGGAAGGACAGUGAGGUUCAGGAACUUGCCUAUUUGUUACAUCCCCUAUCAUCUGCUUCUGUGAAGCCCUGAUGCCCUAUACACUAGCACUACAGAUAAGCAAGGUCACAUCUGCCUUUUAAACACUGGUCCUAGGGUUCAGAACUCAGGGUCUCCUGGUUGCCAUCUCCCCAGUUCAUGUAGUGACAUUUUUAAAAACUUCAUCUAGAAGGUAAAUGAGAAAUGCAAAACCUGUGCAUGGGUAUGCACUGUUCCUUUCUUCAUUGGCACCUGGGCUACUGAAUUCCAUUAACCAGUAGUUAGGAGGCCAGGCAGUGGUGGCACAUGGCUUUAAUCCCAGCACUCAGGAGUCAG